rnacentral:rRNA from 1 species
UACGGGAGGCAGCAGUGGGAAUAUUGCACAAUGGGCGCAAGCCUGAUGCAGCCAUGCCGCGUGUAUGAAGAAGGCCUUCGGGUUGUAAAGUACUUUCAGCAGUGAGGAAGGUGGAUAUGUUAAUAGCAUAUUCAUUUGACGUUAGCUGCAGAAGAAGCACCGGCUAACUCCGUGCCAGCAGCCGCGGUAAUACGGAGGGUGCGAGCGUUAAUCGGAAUUACUGGGCGUAAAGCGCAUGCAGGUGGUUUGUUAAGUCAGAUGUGAAAGCCCGGGGCUCAACCUCGGAAUUGCAUUUGAAACUGGCAAACUAGAGUACUGUAGAGGGGGUAGAAUUUCAGGUGUAGCGGUGAAAAUGCGUAGAGAUCUGAAGGAAUACCGGUGGCGAAGGCGGCCCCCUGGACAGAUACUGACACUCAGAUGCGAAAGCGUGGGGAGCAAACAGGAUUAGAUACCCUGGUAG